GUCUACAGCUAUGCCACCCUCAACAAGCCCGAUCCCGUCUGAUCUCGGAAGCUAAGCAGGGUCGGACCUGGUUAGUACUUAGAUGGGAGGUCACAUAGGAGGACCAGGUGCUGUAGGUG
rnacentral:rRNA from 1 species